GAUGAACGCUGACAGAAUGCUUAACACAUGCAAGUCUUUGGCGAAUCUGUGCUUUCACAGGCUAGCCAAGGCGGACGGGUGGGUAACGCGUAAAGAACUUGCCCUGCAGACAGGGAUAACAGACGGAAACGACUGAUAACACCUGAUACAGUUGCCGGCACGCAUGUGCCUGGCAAUGAAAAGAGAUGCUGCAGGAGAGCUUUGGGUCCUAUUAGCUUGUUGGUGGGGUGACGGCUCACCAAGGCGAUGUUAGGUAGCAGGCCUGAGAGGGUGAACGGCCACAAGGGGACUGAGAUACGGCCCUUACUCCUACGGGAGGCAGCAGUGGGGAAUAUUGGACAAUGGGGGCAACCCUGAUCCAGAAAUUCUGUGUGCACGAAGAAGGUUUUCGGAUUGUAAAGUGCUUUCAGCAGGGAAGAAGAAAGUGACGGUACCUGCAGAAGAAGCGACGGCUAAAUACGUG
rnacentral:rRNA from 1 species